CUCGCGCCGCCCGCUCGUACCAACACCCCCAACCUCCAACUCCGGCAGGCCGCUGACGGCAGUCAGGCGCAGAGGCGAAGUGCGGCGUCAGGCGAUGGGCAAAGACAGAGCACUCGCUGCUGGGCCACUCUCCACUGAAUCGUAGGCCCAUUGGGCUCGUUUUGUGUUAAUGUGGGCAUAUGUGGGUGAUUCACUAGACUUAACCCUAGCCCAGAAAUUCCCCAUAUCUCCGCCGCCGCGGCGGACGAUGAGGCGACGACGGCGCGGCCGCUUGGAACUGCGGGAGGCAUCCGCAUCCAGCUCCCCGCAUGAGAUCAACAAGCGGCGACUGGGCACGAGAGCUGGUGUGCAGCGGCGCGGCUACGCGGCAGGGACACGCGCGUGGCAGGCGGCGAGCCAGCAGGCAGCAGGAGCGAUGUGGGAGGCGGAAGGCAAGCAGCAGCAGCAAGAUUCUAUGCAUAUCUAUCCUCUCCCUGAUUCAAUUGAUUAUUGCCUUGCUGAAUAUUGAUACAAUGUUGUGACGUACAGUAUAGUGCGAUUAGUAUGUGUCCAUGAGACAUAUCUCUUUUUUUUUCCUCCGCCACUGCAUCCAAGAUAUUACGUGAGAUAACUAACAUUAAAUUUAAGUAUGUAUAGUGAUGUUUGAACUAACAUUAAAUUUAAAUAUGUAUAGUGAUGUUUGUAUUGAAAAAA